GAGUCGACGCAAAGCCGGCGGACGCCCUUCGACGGGUGCGUAUAUACGUGCGAGGCCAGCCCCGCCCUCUGGUUCGUUCGUUGUUCGAUCGGAGGGAGAUAUCGAUAGGGAGAGAGAAGAUGGCCGGCAGCUAGAGUGGCUUAUUCAAAGGCAGGUAGAUGAGGGAUUCGGAAGAGAAUAUCCUCCAUUCGGAUGGAUGGUGGCAGACACCGCCCAACCGCACGACCAUCGCCCCAAGCUGAGGCCUGAGAGGAACAUGGGGGCUCGCCCCCAAGUCAAGCGCCAUUCCGCGCGCUGCGAAAGUCUCCACCCACCUAACCAAGAAAAAGAAGAGAAGAAAAAAAAAAGCUAGUAGUAGCCUGCAUCUACCUCUGAUGGAGACAUUCAUGGAUCCAUCCAUUCGAUCCAACUCGAUAAUUUCUUUUCGGCUAACAUCAAGGUUUGCAAGCUCAGCUGCUGCUGUCCUGCUGGAGGGCACUGAGCUGAUUCCAAACCUGCAGUCCAACUAAGUUUGGUGGGAGGUGUACUACUGCUCCUCAAAAAGAAAGUGCCCGCAAAUUUACCUUCUCGACCAGCAUCACAGAAAGCCGGCCAGUAUAAUUCUCUCUUUUUUUCCAUGGAAAAAAUUGUAAAUUGCAUUUUAAAUAACUAAUGUUCCUUCCACGUCAUUAUGUUGAUG
rnacentral:lncRNA from 1 species